AGAAACCUGGAGGGAGACCCCCAAAACUUCUCAGUUCGCCGACCCCUUGGUCCCAGAGGGAGAGGAGGGCACAAUUUGAAACCCAACAUUGAUUUGUGUGAUUAUUUGAUUAAUGUCUCCCUCGCCUCCAAGACAGACCUCACCUAAUUGAGCUGAACAUCUUUCCCGGCCUCUGGCACUUAAUAGGACAGGCUUUGGAGGCACACAGAGGACCACAGAGGCAGAGCCUCAUUUCCCGCUGGAUCGUCCUCUGCCCGGUGCUAGGGAUUCCAUGGUGUCAUUCAAGAGUGCUGCGACAUUUUUUAUUCUUUGGUAUCUAGGAAUCUGCGACUUCCCACUUUUCUUUCUCAUUCUCUGUCCACUCUUUAAGGCCUGGCUGGAGCCCUUCCCCUUCACGAAACCCCUUUUGUCCACUCCAGCCCACACAGUCUCCCCAGUCCACUUUUUUUGCAGCCCAGAUUCAUUUAGCCUUUAUUAUGCUCAGUUUAGGCGUCACUCUGUUUUACUCUCUAAGAGUUCCCUAGGCAUUCUUUUUCUUUCUAGCAAGAUGAUAAACUUCUUGAGGACAAGACGUUCUGCCCCACCACCCCCCUCCUGACCUGGGGGGAUAAAUGAAGGGUUUUGGUAGCAAUCAGGGAAGCUGGCCUACAUGCUACCUGCCUGCGUAUGUAAUGGUGGCUGAUGGUUCAAUAUUAAUGGAUACUGAAUAAGCCUGGCACCUGCUGGAGACAGCGAUGACAUUUGCUCUCACAGCAGAUGACAGGGUGAUUGAUGGCAGGCAUCUCUGGGUGGAAGCGAUGAGUUCUCCAGGGGCGAUGAAGGGGUUAGACUGGGUGCUUAGGGCCCUCAAGGGACCUCAAGGGAAUGUAGAGAAGCCUCAGGCAACCCAGGGUCAGGGGUGAGGGGACCAGGAAGAGAAAGUCCGCUCAGGAAGGGUGUAGGCUCGGACACUGUAGGAGGCAGAUCCAAGAGGCUUCCUAAGUCAGACCUCUUGUCUAAAUUGGAUGGGCUGAGAGCUUUGGAGUCACUGCUUUGCAUACGAGACCAUGGGGACAUAGAAUCCGUCAUUAUCCCUGCCAGCUCAGCUCAGAGGUCAGAACUGAGGAGGGAAGUGGUCAGGUUUAGGGUACAGGGAGAGAAGGUAGGACGUCCCCUCCAGGGCCUAGAGCUGGGGACCACAGCCAGGCUCUGGCAUGCCUGAAAACAGGGCACAUCGCAGGUGGUCGGUAAAGACACGUGGGAUUGAACUGAACAAUGAGGGAUUAAUAGAUUCUUCUUAAAAUUGUCUUAUGGUUUAAGGAGGGAACAGAACAGAGUUGGAAGUAGGGGACAGGAACUCAGAUGUGAUUUUAGCCAGGGCUUGGUUUAAGCUGUUGUGCUUCUUCUCUUGUGAUACUAGUUUGAGCCAAGGGCAGCAGGGGCUGCUCCUGGUGAGAGGACGUGGGCAGGGAUCCCAUCAGAGACAAGCCAGGCAGACACUGUCCAGAGAGGCCUCUCAGGAGGCCAGGACAGCCAGCUGCUUCUCCUUAAGGAGGAGGCCUCUGCUCCACCCUCCAUUCCUCCUCCCCUGGGCCUCUCUCCCUUUCUCCCUGUGAGAUCUUCUGCUACUCCAGCCACAGGAGGUAUAGAUCCAUUCCCAGAACAAAAACUGUCUGGCUGCUCCUGAAACACUUUUUCUCCUAUGCACUACUGGCUCAUCCUCAUGCCUCCAGCUCAGCUUAGACAUCCCCCUUGAAAAGGUCUUCUCUGAGUUCCUGUGGCUCCUGGGCCCAUGCCCAAGGCUGCCCUGUCACACUGGUCCCCGUAUUUUCUUCACAGCACUUAUCAUUGUCUGAAUUUAUCUCAUCCACCUCUUCUCUUUGUUGGGUAUCUCUCUUGCUUCCUUAGAAGGGAAGCUCCAUGCAGGGUUGUGGUCAUUCUCGACCAUGUUGUGCCCCAGCUUCUAGAACAGGGCCCACAUAGACAGUGGCCAGUGAGUAUUUGUUGAAUGGAUGAGUGGGUGGAUGACAGCACUUGGGAAGGCACCAAGUCUCAAGUGGGGUGGGAUUGGGGUGGGGUCCUAGCAAACCUCCUUGUCUCUCAUCCAGGACAGAAUAGAGCUGUCCUGUGGGGGAGCUGCUCACUGGGGAGAGGGCCUGUUGGGCCCUGGUAGAAAAUCCAUUCUGGGCCUGGGCCGGCCACUGCUUGCCCCCUGACAGAUGGUAUGCUAAGCAAUCUGUGAAAUGGGAUGCAACACAAGUUUCAUUUGAGCCUGAACCCCCAGAGGCAGGGAGAAGAAGAACCAAAAAUGUGUAGUCCUGCUCCCCUACCCAGGCACAGGCCUGGUGCCCUCGAGGGCCAGACAGUGCAGAGGGGACUCUGAGGGUGGGGGAGAGAGAGGCGUGGUCCCCGGCCUCUGAUGGAGUGGGAAGUGUGGUGCUGUGCACAGUGAACCUAUGGGGUUUACUAGACAGUGGCCUGUCUAGCAAUGGGCAGCAGGGAGAGAGCAGGGUUUCCAGACAGGCCUUUAGUUAGGUGCCCAGGCACAGGCAGGGCUGUCACACCUGUCUGCCCCGGCCCCCGAGCAUUUUGGGGAUUUUGGAUGGUGGCUCACCCUGACCUCUUUCCAGCUUUAGCACGAGAGUCCCAGCCCCAUUUUCUUUCCUAGCUAACUGUACCAUCACUGCCACAUCAGGGCCCCCAAUACAAUAAGGAGUUAAAGGAAAAGAGGCUACCUUGAGAUCCCCCUCUACCCGCCAGCCCACAGGGUUCCCCCACCUCAGAGUUCAGGAAGUAUUGGUAAAUGGAGGCAGGAGUGGGGCAGGGAUCCUCGGGGGAAGAUCUUAAGAACUUCACCAUGGAAUUAGCUGAUGACACUGGUGUCUUUCUUCUAAGGGGUGCCUAUCCUUUUUCUAUGCUUGCUAGGGAGCUUGAAUCUUUUCUUUUUAAGAGAGAAAAUUUCUGGGCUUGGGAAAGAGGAGCCUCAAGCUGACACUGGUCUGAGUGGGAAAAUUUGGGGCUGAAGUCCUUCCCUUGAAAAUGUGUCUGCUGGGCAAUGCUGAGCAAAAUUCCACAAAGGAGAGAAAGGGUGGAGGAGGGCAGAUUGCCCUUCACCUACCUCUGCGUCUUCUUUGCCUGCCCAGCCUUAGCUGGGCCCCACACCACUAAUGGAAUUUCCAUCCUCAUCCCAUAGCAUCCCCAAAGAACAUUCAAGUCUGAGCCUCAAGGAGCCUCUGCGACUCGGUGUCUAGAUCCAGGAAAUGGAGAAUGAGCCGUGACUUUGGAUGCUUCACUCUUGUCCAUCAGGCUCGGAAUUGGUGAGCAUCUCCCACAUUACCGUCUCCAACGGAACAAGGUGCCCCAUUGGACAUUUCCUCUGCAUGGACCAGCCAUUCUCCAAAUCUGCCCCCAUGUCACCCCAGCUCCCCAUCGCAGUCACUUCUCACUCCUUGUCCCCUGUCCCCCUGAGUGACAGGACUUUUGCCAGUUAGGUCCUGUCCCUGUUUCUGAUCUUGGGCCUGUUGAAGUAGGAGGCAGGACUCAACUUCAGACCAGAUUGAAGACUGGCUGACACAGAAGAGGCACCAAAAGCACCUCUCUCUCCAUAAGACAUGCCCACCAGUGCCAUGACAGUUUACCAUUGGUAGCCCGGCUCUGCAGGGACAGUCACGGAGCUGAAAAACUGCUGCCUAAUGAAGCUGUUUUCUUCUACCACCGGCUCACCCUCAAAUUAUUUCCUGAGCGAACUCAAGAACCUUCCUGGGCUAAGCCCCAAUUUUGGGGCUCGCCUGCCCCUGCAUCACAGCUUCCUCUUCUGUUCACAGCUGCAACCGCCUACUCAACCUUCUGCGGUUCCUCUCCCUGCCCCUCCACAGUGGCUGCUGAUGGGAGCUCUGGCUCCCUGCGUUUUCACUAUCUCCCAGUCAAAUGCAGAGUCCCUGUGCAAUUUAAAUGCUUCUCAGCUAAGAACAGAGAAGGGGAUAGCAUAAGGAUAUUCAAAAGAUUCAAGAAAUCUCAAAAGUGAUCACAAAACAUUUGUCUCUGACCAACCAGAAACAUCGACGGGUGAGAAGGGCAUUUCCUCUAGCUGAAUUCUUCAUGGGUCUUCAGGCUCUGUUUUCACUUUGGAUUUUCUGGAGUCUCCUGAAGGUUACCUGAAAUCUUGUUGGUCCUGAAUAUUGUAUGUGGAGUCCCAAGCUGCAAGAAGUCAGUGGGGCUGGACGGGAGCCAAAAUCAGAGACUCAAGCAGCACAGCUGGGCCCCAUUGAAAGUGAGACCAGCUGUCCCAGUUGGAAGCUGGGGUAUAGAGCUGGGGAUGGGUGGAGGCAGUGACAGGCUCCAUGUAUUGGUCAUUCAGACUCCCCAGUAGCCUCAGGACCCAACUCCCACAGGUCAGAGAAGACCUGGUGGAGGGCCUUAUGCAAACCUCAGUGGGUGAUGCAGGAGGGAGUUUUCUGAGCAGGAAUGCCAACAAAAAAGGCCUUCAAAGGAAGGCCCUGCUUGGGACAAUCCUGCCUCUUUAUGGUCUGGUUCACAGGUUCCCCUGGGUGGGGUAAUGGAAUCCAAGCUAAGGUGUCUGACUUCAAAAGUUUUCAGAAAUGCCACUUUUGUAAGCAUCAGGGAUUGGGUUUUCUGAGAUGCAAAACAUCUUUGUUAAGGGGUUAAAGCAUCCUUAAGCUGUUUAGGUUUCUGGGGAUACAUAGACUUAGGAAGUUAGAGCAGGUGAAGUUGAGGGGGAUGGGAACUAAGAAUUAGCUCAAAAUAGUCACCAAUGCAGAAACCCAGGCACUUGGGACCCUGACAGUGGGGAAGGCAGAGGAGUAACUGUGGGGACUUGGGCACCCUAUUAGCAGAAUGGGGUAACAGAGAAGGCAAGAAUUGCUUCCCAGGAGACUGGGCUGGGAACAGGAAGGGGACUAAAAUGCUGUCCCUGGCUGAAGAGUGUGGAGGUAUAGAGGAGCUGGUAGCAGGGCUCUGAAUCCAUACACGAGAGCAAGGACCAGUGGUUUCAGGGUGGGAUAGGGCUUUGAUGUCUUCAUGGACUUAGGGUAAUAUUCACCACCAUGGUGAAUUCCACAAAGGAGAAUUCACACAAAGGUCUCGGACCAGCCAGUUUCCAUGUGAAAAAGCCAUCUGGGAGCAAGGGAACAAACCCAGGAAUACAACUGUAUUGGGGGAAAUUCAGCCAGACAUAGGGCAAAAUUCACCCCCAAUAUUUCAUGUAGGUUCUUUUCUAUUUUCCGUAAGUGUCGGCCGGUCUGAGAAAUAAAGGGACAGAGCUCAAAAGAGAGAAAUUUUAAAGCUGGGUGUCUGGGGGAGACAUCACAUGUCGGCAGGUUCCGUGAUGCCCCCCGAGCCGUAAAACCAGCAAGUUUUUAUUCGUGAUUUUCAAAAGGGGAGGGGGAGUGUAUGAAUAGGGUGUGGGUCACAGAGAUCACAUGCUUCACAAGAUAAUAAGAUAUCACAAGGCAAAUGGAGGCAGGGCGAGAUCACAGGACCACAGGACCGGGGCAAAAUUAAAAUUGCUAAUGAAGUUUCGGGCAUGCAUUUUCAUUGAUAACAUCUUAUCAGGAGACAGGGUCUGAGAGCAGACAACCGGUCUGACCAAAAUUUAUUAGGCGGGAAUUUCCUCGUCCUAAUAAGCCUGGGAGCGCUAUGGGAGACUGGGGCUUAUUUCAUCCCUACAGCUUUGACCAUAAAAGACGGCCGCCCCCCGAAGCGGCCAUUUCGGAGGCCUACCCUCAGGGACACAUUCUCUUUCUCAGGGAUGUUCCUUGCUGAGAAAAAAAAUUUAGCGAUAUUUCUCCCAUUUGUUUUUGAAAGAAGAAAAAUAUGGCUCUGUUCUGCCUGGCUCACCGGCAGUCAGAGUUUAAGGUUAUCUCUCUUGCUCCCUGAACAUUGCUGUUAUCCUGUUCUUUUUUCAAGGUGCCCAGAUUUCAUAUUGUUCAAACACACAUGCUCUACAAACAAUUUGUGCAGUUAACGCAAUCAUCACAGGGUCCUGAGGCGACAUACAUCCUCCUCAUUUUACAAAGAUGAUGGGAUUAAGAGAUUAAAGACAGGCAUAGGAAAUCACAAGGGUAUUGAUUGGGGAAGUGAUAAGUGUCCAUGAAAUCUUCACAAUUUAUGUUCAGAGAUUGCAGUAAAGACAGGCGUAAGAAAUUAUAAAAGUAUUAAUUUGGGGAACUAAUAAAUGUCCAUGAAAUCUUCACAAUCCACAAUUAUUCUGCCAUGGCUUCAGCCGGUCCCUCCAUUUGGGGUUCCUGACUUCCCGCAACACAAGUGGAGAGAGAGGUGGCCUGACAUUAUGGCUAAGUUGAUAUGGAAGCAUUCUGGUUUGUUCUAGAAAAAAUGAAAGAGGUGGUGCAGGUAAUCAUCAGCUCCUGGUUCUGUAGCAAGGCUUUUGCUGCAAUCCCAGGAGGUAGCAACCUAGGCUUUGGUUCUGAAAGAAGAGGGUCUACCUUCCUGAAUCAUUUUUAGGAGUCUGCUGAUGGCCAGGCUUGGUGAGUUGGACUCUGUAAGGAAUUUUUAUUUAAGUGAGGUCUGGGUAGGAAAAGAGAAGGGAAAAACUUGACCCUGCCUGCACCAAAGGAUUCUGGGAAGGAGAAUAAAGAGAAAAACCCUUCUUCAUGUUUCUGCUUCAGAGCAGGAGAACCAUCACAAGCUAAGUAAAGUCAAUGAAGGGCGAGUGGCCCUAUGGCCACCUGGGCACACACCUGCCCCUUGGCCACCUUGCAUAGGCAGGCUGAGGAGGUCACUAAGGCUUGGUUUUCCUGACCUGCCCUGAUUCCACAUGCUGUAAGGAGGACCCAGAAGGCUGUGUGGCUACAGAGGUGCCCAGCAUGGUGGGGGUCACUUCAGUGUGGACACUAGACUGGACCGCGUGGAACUACAACCAGCUCAGAGCGCCAGCCAGAGUGCUGUUCUGGCCAGAAGGAGGAGCCAAGACCCACACCCAGGAGGACAAUGAGCCCCUCUCUGCAGACAGGAGCCAGCCACACCUGGGGUCUGGGGAGACUCUUCCUGAUUCCAAAUGGGACUGAACUUUAAACCAGACUGGGCAUUUGAGCAAUUUUUUAAAAGCUGUCAACCAAAUAAAGGAAUGCCAUUUUCUUUACCCAGUCAUCGAUUGGGCUGUUACUGCAGAGUCGGUGGAAGGGUUUGUACAGGGGCCAUUGCAAGGGAGGAAACCAUCCUGCCACUGGGAACCAGGAAGACGGGUGAAAGGCAAGGAAUAUGCAAAAUGAGUCUCAGCUCUCCUUUGAGACACCUUCCGGCCCUGGCAGAGUCCAGUGGCAGGAGCUUUGGUAUGAACCAUGCCCGGUAACAGGGACUGUGCAGAGGAAGAAUCCCAGCUAGCCUAUGGAUGAAGAGCUCAGUGAAAGGAGGGGCAGACAGGACCGAUGGCUGCCACCUUGGACCAUGAUGUGGGAGCCACGUUAUGAGAAUGGCAGAGCAACCAGAUAGCGUUGGCACCACCAAUCCCAGCCCUGGACUUCCCAUGGUAAGGAGAGAGAGAAACGUCUUAUGGGAGCCACCAUCAUUCUCGUGCAGCAAACCUGAUCCUAACACACAGCACCAAGACCCUGCCUCCUCCUCUCCCUUCCCUCCCAGUGCCGACGAAGACCUACUAUGCAGAGAGGAUAGAGGAGGGACACAGAGGCCACUGGAGGUGAUUUGAAAAGGACGAGGACACCUGGGAACAAGGCAAUGAAGGUGGCUAGGACAGAGGCAUGAGGACAGAGCCUGGGGAGGACUCAUUAGUGCAGGGCUGACAGGCAGAGCCUUCCCAGGAACUCAGCCAGCAGAACCUGACAGCCAUGAUUUGGGCCUGCCCACUGCCCCAGGGGCCCUCCAACCCAGUCCUCCCCAGAGGGCUGAGGGCCCUCCCUCCCCAUACUCAGCAAUACUCCAGAGCCUACUUCCCCAUGGAGGCCCAAUCCCCUUCCCGGACGAGGCAGCUGGUGGUGUGUGGGUGCUGGUCUGGUGAGAGAGGGACUCCUUGGAGACUGAGGCCAUGGGGGAGGGAGUGUCUGUCCAUACCUGCAGGUUUGUCCCAAAUUUAGACCCCAGGUCUGGAGGUGAACACAGCCCCACCUGAUUCCUGGGAAGCCACGCUAUCUAUGCAGCUCGCUUCUUAGAAGCGGGCUUCCUCUCCAUCCCCAUCGAACUCAGUGCAGUCAAUGCCUACUGAGCUCCUACUGAGUACACUACAUGGAUGUGGGUUCAGGUGCUAAGGAAAUAAACCAGGCCCCACACUGCAGUCCCCAGGGCGCAGUGCCCUGACAGGUUGCCCCAAGACUGUGGUGUGCUGGGAAAUGUUGAACACCCAGCUCUCUGAAGGAGAACACCUGGUUUGUGGCAGUUGCAGGUUUGUAGUGUUUCGUGAUCUAAAUCAUCCACCCUGGCCAAUUCCAAGUUGUAAACACAGAGUCCUUGAAGUCAGGAAGGCCCUGGCCCGGCUCCCAGGCCCAGCUCCAGCACCCCACUGCCAGGGGCUGCUCGCCUCCGGUCCCAGGUCCUCACCCCACCACCAGCAGGUCUCGGCCCUGUGCCUCAUAGGUUCCCAGCCUUCCCCUGCUUGGGCCCUGGGUUUGGCUCUGGGGCUGACAGCCCGUGCCUUGACUGUGGCAUGUGGGCUGUGGCUGCCAGGUCAGGAAGAAUCAGUGGACAGUUGGUCACAAGCACCCUGGUCCCAAAUCUUGAAAUGCUCACGUUCUUCAACUUCUUCAACUACUACCCCACCCCUCCAGGCCUUUUCCUCUCUCUGACAGCUUCACUUCACCCCAGUGUCUCCUCCUCCUCCUCAGAAGUGGCCGUUCCCCAGCAUUUGGAGCCCAGGACCCCUCCCAGCCCUGAAGCAUUUGCCUCCCAGCCUCCCCCGAACCUUGCUCCCCUACUGCCACCCCCUGUCUGUCCCGGAGGAGGCCUCAUAGACACUUGCUGCGUGCCACUCCAAGGAGGCUGUGGUGCUCCUGCCAACUCUCCAGUGGCUGCCACAACUGCUGUCUUCAGGAGGAGGAGGGAUGGCCCCCUCAGCCUCCCUGCCUCUGCUAUCUCAGCCCCAGCGUCCCGGCAUCAUCUGCUCCACCUCCAGGCAAGUCAGAGCCAGGCUUGCCAUCUGCCUGGCAGCCUGGGGCACUGUGCCUUUAUGGCUCCCGGGUAGGACGUGGACCUGGGCCCCAGCCCCUGGGCGCCAAGGUGCCAACCCUGCAGGGGAGUUGCUUAAUGACCUUCAUGAGCAGUAAUUACACCCCAGGGCCCUCUCUUAAUAACCACGUAUUCUCCCUGUCAAUGUGCCUUAAUUGAAAAUGAGUAGGCGAUACAAGUUGCUGUGAAGUUGGCUGGCAAGCCCUUAACGUGAUAUUAAUUGUAGUAAUUAGUAGUCACUUUGUGUUGGAGUCAUCUAUAAAUAGGGGGUCCAUUAGUUUAGCAAAAGAGCAUGAUUUAAAAUGCAAAUAAAAGCCCAAUUAGACAGAUAAAUCGCUUGUCUUUUCCAGCAAAUUAUCAUCUUCCAGAAGGACGGCAGCCACUUUGGGGCUGCACUGCUCAGUUCAGGGGCUCUGAACUCUUUAUACCACCGGAGUGGCCCUUUUGAUACACUGUCCCUUUAAACAGGUUUGCACCAAGCUUCCUCAGGAGGCUGUCACUCUUAGAGCAGUCCCUAUAGACUCUUAUUUUAUUGGCACAACUGGUGGUCAGGGCCCCAAGUAGCUCCUCCCCCUGUAUGCUGAUUGGUCCCCUUUGGUGACACAGAAGCACAUUUUAAAGGAAUAGUAGCACAGUGCGUAAGGCACUAGGAGAAUGGGUGGGGGGUAGGAGGGGUCUACUCUUUGAAUUUGGCUCUGCACGGUCCAGACAGAGUGAACCACCAAUGCUAUGUGUUGUCCUGUGACCCAAAAAAGUUAAAAAUAAACUCACACCAUUGUUGUGGGGCUGGACAACUUACUUUCCGCUUCUUUCUCUCUUCUACAAAAGCUACUUACGGUGGUUGCAGAGAUUUCUCUCUCUCUCUCUCUCUCGCACACACACACACACACACACACACACACACACACACACAGUAUUUCUCAUAGGCUUUGGGCAAACAUUUCAGGUGCAAACAACUGGAAGUAGAAUGUGGCAGCUAGGGAGGUGUUAAGAGGGCGCAGCUUCAAGGCCAGAGGGGAGAUUUCUAGUUCAACCUUCCUUUGACUAGAGCUUCACCAGUUACCCAACACUUUCUCCCAGGCCUGUGUUUCAAACUUCUCAAUUAAAGAGGCUGUUGAGAUGUGCGUGGGGACAUGGGUGUGAGUUCUUCCCUCUCUGGCUUGUUGAGCUUCUGGAGAACUGGUGUCCUGGGCUCAGCUCGGAGCCCUUCCUGUCCCCUCCUUCGGCCUGCCACACCCCCUCCCCACGAGCCCUUCACUCCUUUGUGGCCAACUGAGGCUACCCCUCAGACAGCAUUUGCAUUUUAAUAAGACCCAAAGUCAAAAGAUAAAACAGCUAUUCCCAAACACAGGGAACACUAACAAUUGUCUCUUCCAGCAGGAGUUUCAUCUUUGUCCAAAAAAUGAGGAGAACACAGGAAACUUGAAAGUAUUAUCCUUGAUUAUAUUAUCCUUUUAUGAUUCAAUGUUUGCAGCAGGUGGUAGUACUUGCUAUUUUUAAUGUCCUAUUUGACAAAAUAAAAUAUUGGCAACCCUGU
rnacentral:lncRNA from 1 species